GCCUCGAACUCGGAGAGUAGGGACCCACCUGCCACUCCACCUUCUCUGAAUGUCACCCUGCCUGCUGCUGGGACUGCUGCUCCCGCAGCCUCCCUCCCAGCCACAGUGACUCAUGUGCUGCUGAGGUGCUUGGAGAAGUUGGCAGACUUCCUGUGCCUACCAUCUUUCCCAGGGUGCGUUCCCUUCCCCUCUGGGUACAAGAAAGAUGUGACCUCGCUGGCAGUCAUGCGCCACUGAGGUUUGCAGAUAGGCAGCAGAGCUCAGAGAGGAGCCGUUUCUGGCAGGACUUUUCCCAAACCACAGGAAAGCCAGGAUCAAGAUCCCUGGGAGCCCGACAGAAAACGCAGGUGUAUAGUAUAGAUAACCACAUCGGCAGGAAGUAGCCUACCCCCCUUGCCCCCACCCCGGACCCCUCACCCGGAUGCACCAUGUUCCUGCAGGAGUGCCCACAGGAGCCAUCUCAUUCACUCCCCACCACAACCCCGUGCAAUGCCCGUUUUUCCCAAGGAAGGGAAGGUCCAAGAGGCAGAGGGAUGGCACCAAGACAGAGAGGCACAUCCACCUGUCUCCAGCACCUGCCCCACUAUGCAAAGACCACCCAUCCAGGAGGCUGAGAGCUGGGAGCCAGUUCUAGGCCCCCCACUGCCUGGCUGCCCGACUUGAGUACAUCCUACAGGCAGGCCAAAUCCACCCUGAGAGCAACUGCUCCCAGACCCUUCCUGCCCACUGGGCCCCUCUCCUCCUGGUGCCCACCUCCUAAAAGGGUGAAGAGGGUGUGCGAGUGGGAGGACCUGGGGUGUUGUGGUUUAAAAUCACAGCUCUGGAGUCCCCGCUGCGUAGAUGAGAGCCCGGGUUCUGCUGCUUCCUGGCCACAGACGUCGGGGCCAUCCCCUGUGCUGGUCCAGCUUCAAUGUAGUGGAGGUAAAAUGGGAAUAAUGUGCACUACUGGGAAUUAAGUGAAACAGCGUAUGUAAAAACUUAGGACGGCAAACCCUCAGUGAAUAGUCGCUGUCAGCAUCAUCAGUA